rnacentral:rRNA from 1 species
GUGGGGAAUUUUGGACAAUGGGCGAAAGCCUGAUCCAGCCAUGCCGCGUGUGUGAAGAAGGUCUUCGGAUUGUAAAGCACUUUAAGUUGGGAGGAAGGGUAGUAACCUAAUACGUUGCUACUUUGACGUUACCGACAGAAUAAGCACCGGCUAACUUCGUGCCAGCAGCCGCGGUAAUACGAAGGGUGCAAGCGUUAAUCGGAAUUACUGGGCGUAAAGCGCGCGUAGGUGGUUCAGGAAGUUGGAAGUGAAAUCCCCGGGCUCAACCUGGGAACUGCUUUCAAAACUGCUGAGCUAGAGUACGGUAGAGGGUGGUGGAAUUUCCUGUGUAGCGGUGAAAUGCGUAGAUAUAGGAAGGAACACCAGUGGCGAAGGCGACCACCUGGACUGAUACUGACACUGAGGUGCGAAAGCGUGGGGAGCAAACAGGAUUAGAAACCCUUGUAGUCC